AACGAACGCUGGCGGCAUGCCUAACACAUGCAAGUCGAACGAGACCUUCGGGUCUAGUGGCGCACGGGUGCGUAACGCGGGGGAACCUACCCUUAGGUUCGGAAUAACUCCCCGAAAGGGGUGCUAAUACCGGAUAAUGUCUUCGGACCAAAGAUUUAUCGCCUUUGGAUGGGCCCGCGUUGGAUUAGCUAGUUGGUAGGGUAAAAGCCUACCAAGGCGACGAUCCAUAGCUGGUCUGAGAGGAUGAUCAGCCACACUGGGACUGCGACACGGCCCAGACUCCUACGGGAGGCAGCAGUGGGGAAUAUUGGACAAGGGGCGAAAGCCUGAUCCAGCAAUGCCGCGUGAGUGAUGAAGGCCUUAGGGUUGUAAAGCUCUUUUACCCGGGAUGAUAAUGACAGUACCGGGAGAAUAAGCUCCGGCUAACUCCGUG
rnacentral:rRNA from 1 species